GAUUUUAUUAGGAUUUAAGAUUCAAUUAGUUUUGGCCUAAAGUUUGAAUGAAGUUUAAUAGGAUUUUAACUAGAAUUAAAUUAAGAUUGAAUUGAGAUGUAUUUGAGUGAUAUUUGUGUUCUUUCUAAUGUUUCUUUAAGAAUUUUUAUUGUUUGUUUGAAAUUUCUUUGAAGUUUUUAUGAAUUUGAUUAAGCUUACUUAG
rnacentral:lncRNA from 1 species